GACGAACGCUGGCGGCGUGCUUAACACAUGCAAGUCGAGCGGAGCGGCGAACGGGGGAGUAACGCGAGAAGAACUGCCCCCCUCUCUGGGAGAACAGUAGGAAAAGGGGGCUGAUACCGGAUAGUGGGGGAUGACCCGCGUCCUAUCAGCUUGUUGGUGGGGUAGUGGCCUACCAAGGCGGCGACGGGUAGCCGGCCUGAGAGGGCGACCGGCCACAUUGGGCUGAGAUACGGCCCAAACUCCUUCUGGAGGCAGCAGUGGGGAAUAUUGCACAAUGGGGGAAACCCUGAUGCAGCAACGCCGCGUGCGGGAUGACGGCCUUCGGGUUGUAAACCGCUUUCAGCCAUGACGCGGUAGUGGCAGAAGAAGCACCGGCUAACUACGUGCCAGCAGCCGCGGUAAUAC
rnacentral:rRNA from 1 species